rnacentral:rRNA from 1 species
GACGUAGGGCGCGAGCGUUGUCCGGAUUUAUUGGGCGUAAAGAGCUCGUAGGCGGCUUGUCGCGUCGUCCGUGAAAACCCGCGGCUCAACCCCGGGCCUGCAGCCGAUACGGGCAAGCGUAGAAUUCGGUAGGGGAGACUGGAAUUCCUGGUGUAGCGGUGAAAUGCGCAGAUAUCAGGAGGAACACCGGUGGCGAAGGCGGUUCUCUGGGCAUUACCUGACGCUGAGGAGCGAAAGUGUGGGGAGCGAACAGG